GCCAUACAUGGUAUAGUGGUUUUUGAACAUUGGACUAGGACUCUGGAGACCAGGGUUCAAAUCCCUGCUCAGCCA